rnacentral:siRNA from 1 species
ACCUCUCUCCUUGGGCCACCAAA